rnacentral:rRNA from 1 species
CGGCGUGGAUGAUACAUGCAAGUCGAACGGGAACGUUCCUUCGGGGAACUAGUACAGUGGCGGACGGGUGAGUAACGCGUGAUCAACCUGCCCUUGGGAGGGGGAUAGCUAUCCGAAAGGAUAGGUAAUACCCCAUAAGACUACGGCAUCGCAUGGUGCUGCGGUCAAAGAGUUGGGAUCUUCGGACCUUCUGCCCGAGGAUGGGAUCGCGUCCUAUUAGCUUGUUGGUGGGGUAACGGCCUACCAAGGCGAUGAUGGGUAGCCGGCCUGAGAGGGUGGUCGGCCACACUGGGACUGAGACACGGCCCAGACUCCUACGGGAGGCAGCAGUGCUGAAUCAUUCGCCAAUGCGCGAAAGCGUGACGGUGCGACGCCGCGUGCGGGAUGAAGGCCUUCGGGUUGUAAACCGCUGUCAGGGUCUAGGAAACCGCCGACGUGAAUAGCGGCGGCGCUGACCAGGCCCAAAGGAAGUGCAGGCUAACCUCGUGCCAGCAGCCGCGGUAAGACGAGGUGCACAAGCGUUGUUCGGAAUCACUGGGCAUAAAGAGUGCGUAGGCGGUCUGGUAAGUCGGGUGUGAAAGCCCUCGGGUCAACCGGGGAAUUGCUUCCGAUACUGCCAGACUUGAGAGCGAAAGGGGCAAGCGGAAUUCCAGGUGUAGCGGUGGAAUGCGUAGAUAUCUGGGAGAACGCCGAAGG